GCAAACUUGGUCAUUUAGAGGAAGUAAAAGUCGUAACAAGGUUUCCGUAGGUGAACCUGCGGAAGGAUCAUUACCGAGUGUUUUGAUAGAUCUCUGAUCAAUCAACCUCCCACCCUUUUGUGUAUCAAACUUUUGUUGCUUCGGCAAGAGUAAAAUCUUGCCGAAGGAAUUUUCAAAAACUCUGAUUACUUUUGAAGUCUGAGUCGUUUUUUAAAUUAAAAAAAACUUUCAACAACGGAUCUCUUGGUUCUGGCAUCGAUGAAGAACGCAGC
rnacentral:misc_RNA from 1 species